UGGCCUUAAAAUGAUGUCAAGUUAUUUAUACUUCAAUUGCGCAUUUAUUUUAUAUAUCUCAUAUAGACCCAUGUUUAAGAUGUGUGGGAGAAACGAGUGAACACGGAUAUUGACCUGACUAAUAUGAUCAGUUUACUUAAUUUACAUUGUACUGAGAAGCAAAUACGCAAUUCAUGUGCUAACAGAAAAAGGGAAUAUUGAAACUAAACUAGAUAUUCCAUAUGGGAAAUAUAUUCAGCUAUUUUAGAAGAACUAAUCACAGAUACAGUCAAUCCGAACAGUUAUAUUUUUAAAACAUUUUGAACUUAAGUCAAACCUGCUUAAAUCGCAUCUCUUUAACACGUACACAUGGCGUGUUAGAUUACCCUUUUCCUGUCCGGGUUUGGCAAUAACAA